GCGAACGGGUGAGUAACACGUGAGUAACCUGCCCUUGACUCUGGGAUAAGCCUGGGAAACUGGGUCUAAUACCGGAUAUGACUGACUAUCGCAUGGUGGUUGGUGGAAAGCUUUUGUGGUUUUGGAUGGACUCGCGGCCUAUCAGCUUGUUGGUGGGGUAAUGGCCUACCAAGGCGACGACGGGUAGCCGGCCUGAGAGGGUGACCGGCCACACUGGGACUGAGACACGGCCCAGACUCCUACGGGAGGCAGCAGUGGGGAAUAUUGCACAAUGGGCGCAAGCCUGAUGCAGCGACGCCGCGUGAGGGAUGACGGCCUUCGGGUUGUAAACCUCUUUCAGUAGGGAAGAAGCGAAAGUGACGGUACCUGCAGAAGAAGCGCCGGCUAACUACGUGCCAGCAGCCGCGGUAAUACGUAGGGCGCAAGCGUUAUCCGGAAUUAUUGGGCGUAAAGAGCUCGUAGGCGGUUUGUCGCGUCUGCCGUGAAAGUCCGGGGCUCAACUC
rnacentral:rRNA from 1 species